rnacentral:rRNA from 1 species
GAUGAACGCUGGCGGCGUGCCCAAUACAUGCAAGUCGAGCGAAUGGAUUAAGAGCUUGCUCUUAUGAAGUUAGCGGCGGACGGGUGAGUAACACGUGGGUAACCUGCCCAUAAGACUGGGAUAACUACGGGAAACCGGGGCUAAUACCGGAUAACAUUUUGAACCGCAUGGUUCGAAAUUGAAAGGCGGCUUCGGCUGUCACUUAUGGAUGGACCCGCGUCGCAUUAGCUAGUUGGUGAGGUAACGGCUCACCAAGGCAACGAUGCGUAGCCGACCUGAGAGGGUGAUCGGCCACGCUGGGACUGAGACACGGCCCAGACUCCUACGGGAGGCAGCAGUAGGGAAUCUUCCGCAAUGGACGAAAGUCUGACGGAGCAACGCCGCGUGAGUGAUGAAGGCUUUCGGGUCGUAAAACUCUGUUGUUAGGGAAGAACAAGUGCUAGUUGAAUAAGCUGGCACCUUGACGGUACCUAACCAGAAAGCCACGGCUAACUACGUGCCAGCAGCCGCCGUAA